AGAGUUUGAUCCUGGCUCAGAACGAACGCUGGCGGCGUGCCUAAUACAUGCAAGUCGAACGGGAAAGUGGCUUCGGCCAUGAGUAUAGUGGCAGACGGGUGAGUAAUACAUAGGUAACCUACCUCCAAGAUGGGGACAACCUUCCGAAAGGAGGGCUAAUACCGAAUGAGACCACAGUUACUACGGUAACAGGGGUCAAA
rnacentral:rRNA from 1 species